GAGAGAGAGAGAGAGAGGAGAGGAGAGACAACUAAGAGAGAUGAUUGUGAUGAGGGACAGAGGAGAGACCAUCUAACUGCUCGCUGAAGUUCUCUAAAGUUGGCUGAUCGAUGAGAGGAGUCAAGAGAGAGAUCGAUGAGAGAAACGAUGAGAGACCCUUUUGUUCGUUUCAGAUCGACGGCAAAAAGGUAAUCUUAACCUACACAACCAUAAUCCUAGGGCUGUGAUCGAAUUUGAAAAAAGUGCGCCUUUUCGCGCCUCGUCACCUUGGUCGCUUCUUGUUCCUAGGCUGCGCCUUAUUAAUGUCGCAUCGCCUGGGGUCAUACAAGGUGAUGGGGGUGCGGCUCGCCUCGCCUUGCACCCUGGGCGCGCCUUUGACAACUAUGCCCCCACUGCCACCAAUUCUUGGCUAUGCCACUGCUUGCACACAUGAAAUUAUAUGUGAUUUUUUACCAUAUACAAUGGGUUCAAGAUGAAUCUGACAUGUACGCCGCACCCAACACCCGUAUAUGAGUCCAUGUGACAGAGCUUUUAAUUGGCCCAUAUCACCACCUUGCGUGGGAUUUAACAUCUUUAGUGUUUUUUGUCCAUGGGCGUGUGUAAUUUUGAGAUUCUCAUUGUCCAGGUUAUUUCCUUUUUAUUAUUUCUGUGAGUGUGAUGCUGUGAAAUCCUUCUUUAGCUUGUUGCCAUUAUCCUGCUUAUGUUCCGAGCUAAGUUCUAGAUUAGACUGACCUGGGGUUUUCUCCUACCAGUAAAAAAGUUGCAUACAUUAAAACACAAAUCAAAAUUGACUACUAGCAAUGUUUAGAAUGUACAGACUGUUGUGUUCUUCUGGAUUGAUGAAUUUGGAACUAGUUUGAUUUGUAUUUUGAGGACUUCUGCUUAGAUUCGGAUGAGAGAAGAGAACAGAUUGAUUUGAAAGAUUUAUUUCAGUAUUUGUUUAAUAAGAUUGUGAAGGGAGUUAUUUGUUUAAUAAGAUCUGUGUCAAAAUUGAAUACUAGCAAGGUGUCUUCUGAAGACUGAAAGAAAUGGUACGAAAGUGCAUGUGCGCCGAUUAUAAUGGGAGUUAUUCGCCCCUUGCAUUUCAGCAUCCCCAACUGGCCUUCAGCUAAUGCUACGAAAGGCCUCUUCUGAAGACUGAAAGAAAUAGAAUGUCCGAAUGUGCGCUGAUUAUUUCUUUUAGUCUUAACUGUCUGAAACCUACGCUUUUCCAUUUGACUAAUUGUGCACUCAUGUCACCAAAAACUUACACCAGUAUUAUCUGUCUGCUUGAGUUCUCUUAGGCUGUUAUUUAACAUUUGGAUUGGCUGAUCUUGGAAUAAUACAAACUAAAACACAAGAGACUUUCAAUUUGUACACUUACCAUCUGUGCAGUAACAAUUCUGUACCUUCAUUUUGCUAUAGUAUUUUGUGUUCUGCACAAGUUAAAGUGCAUGUUUUUUUGUAUCUAGGCCUAGUGAAGGGGAGGGGGAAAUGAGAACUGUAUUUGCUCUUAUUUAUUUUUUCUUUUAUUUAUUUAUUUUCACUAUUAAGGAAGCGUUACCCCGUGUAAUUAGAUUCAUGAAAGUUUUAUAUGAUUAAGUUGGUUUGAAUUU